rnacentral:rRNA from 1 species
GUGCCAGCAGCCGCGGUAAUUCCAGCUCCAAUAGCGUAUAUUAAAGUUGUUGUGGUUAAAAAGCUCGUAGUUGAACCUUGGGCCUGGCUGGCCGGUCCGCCUCACCGCGUGCACUGGUCCGGCCGGGCCUUUCCCUCUGUGGAACCCCAUACCCUUCACUGGGCGUGGCGGGGAAACAGGACAUUUACUUUGAAAAAAUUAGAGUGCUCCAGGCAGGCCUAUGCUCGAAUACAUUAGCAUGGAAUAAUAAAAUAGGACGCGCGGUUCUAUUUUGUUGGUUUAUAGGACCGCCGUAAUGAUUAAUAGGGACAGUCGGGGGCAUCAGUAUUCAACUGUCAGAGGUGAAAUUCUUGGAUCAGUUGAAGACUAACUACUGCGAAAGCAUUUGCCAAGGAUGUUUUCAUUAAUCAGGAACGAAAGUUAGGGGAUCGAAGACGGUCAGAUACCGUCGUAGUCUUAAUCAUAAACUAUGCCGACUAGGGAUCGGACGGUGUUAUUCAUGACCCGUUCGGCACCUUACGAGAAAUCAAAGUGCUUGGGCUCCAGGGGAGUAUGGUCGCAAGGCUGAAACUUAAAGAAAUUGACGGAAGGGCACCACCAGGGUGGAGCCUGCGGCUUAAUUUGACUCAACACGGGGAAACUCACCAGGUCCAGACACAAUAAGGAUUGACAGAUUGAGAGCUCUUUCUUGAUUUUGUGGGUGGUGUGCAUGGCCGGUCUUAGUGGUGGGGUGACUUGUCUGCUUAAUGCGAUACGACGAGACUUACCUGCUAAAUAGCCCGCAUUGCUCCGGCAGUGCGCUGGCUUCUAGAGGGACUUUCGGCUCAAGCCGAAGGAAGGU